rnacentral:rRNA from 1 species
UACGUAGGGCGCAAGCGUUAUCCGGAAUUAUUGGGCGUAAAGAGCUUGUAGGCGGUUUGUCGCGUCUGCUGUGAAAUUUCGGGGCUCAACCCCGAACUUGCAGUGGGUACGGGCAGACUAGAGUGUGGUAGGGGAGACUGGAAUUCCUGGUGUAGCGGUGAAAUGCGCAGAUAUCAGGAGGAACACCGAUGGCGAAGGCAGGUCUCUGGGCCAUAACUGACGCUGAGAAGCGAAAGCGUGGGGAGCAAACAGG